GGAUGGGUGGCAGAGCGGUUGAAUGCAACGGUCUUGAAAACCGUCGAAGUCUUCCGACUUCCGUGAGUUCGAAUCUCACCCCAUCCGCCA
rnacentral:tRNA from 1 species